rnacentral:rRNA from 1 species
AAUUGUUCGCCAAACAACUACGAGUAACACUUAAAACUUAAAAGACUUGACGGUGCUUCACCCCGACCUAGAGGAGCCUGUCUAAUAACCGACAAUCCACGAUUAACCCAACCACUUCUUGCCUUAACAGUCUAUAUACCGCCGUCGCCAGCUUACCUUGUAAAAGAAAUAAAGUGAGCCAAACAGUAACACACUAAAACGACAGGUCGAGGUGUAACUUAUGAAAUGGGCCAAGAUGGGCUACAUUCUCCAACCGAGAAUACGAAUAACACUAUGAAAUUUAUGCUUAAAGGCGGAUUUAGCAGUAAGAUAAGAAUAAAAUACCUAACUGAACAUAACGCAAUGAAGUGCGCACACACCGCCCGUCAUCCCUGCCACCAC